UUCGCCAGGGAACAACGAGCCCCAGCUUAAAACCCAAAGGACUUGGCGGUGCUUUAGACCCCCCUAGAGGAGCCUGUUCUAGAAUCGAUACUCCCCGUUCAACCUCACCCUCUCUUGUUUUUCCCGCCUAUAUACCGCCGUCGUCAGCUUACCCUGUGAAGGUUGAAUAGUAAGCAAAAUUGGCACAGCCCAAAACGUCAGGUCAAGGUGUAGCGCACGAGAGGGGAAGAAAUGGGCUACAUUUACUGAAACAGUAAAAACGAACUCUGCACUGAAACGUGCACCUGAAGGAGGAUUUAGCAGUAAGAGGAGAGUAGAGCGCCCCUCUGAAAACGGCCCUGAAGCGCGCACACACCGCCCGUCACUCUCCCCAAAAAAAACUAAAAAAUAAAUAAUACACCCACUAAAAAUAAAGGGGAGGCAAGUCGUAACAUGGUAAGUGUACCGGAAGGUGCACUUGGAAAAACC
rnacentral:rRNA from 1 species